rnacentral:rRNA from 1 species
AAUCAACGCUGGCGGCGUGCCUAACACAUGCAAGUCGAACGCGAGAGGGGCUCCGGCCCCGAUUGAGUGGCGAACGGGUGAGUAACGCGUGGGUGACCUACCUUCGAGUGGGGGAUAACGUCCCGAAAGGGACGCUAAUACCGCAUAACAUCCUGCUUUUGAAUGGGUGGAGACCAAAGCCGGGGAUCGCAAGACCUGGCGCUUGAUGAGGGGCCCGCGUCUGAUUAGCUAGUUGGUGAGGUAACGGCCCACCAAGGCAACGAUCAGUAUCCGGCCUGAGAGGGCGGACGGACACACUGGGACUGAGACACGGCCCAGACUCCUACGGGAGGCAGCAGUGGGGAAUUGUUCGCAAUGGGCGCAAGCCUGACGACGCAACGCCGCGUGGAGGAUGAAGGUCUUCGGAUUGUAAAGCCCUUUUGUUGGGAAAGAAAUCCUAUCGGCUAAUACCCGGUGGGGAUGA